GACGAACGCUGGCGGCGUGCUUAACACAUGCAAGUCGAACGGAAAGGCCUUUUCGGCGGUACUCGAGUGGCGAACGGGUGAGUAACACGUGGGUGAUCUGCCCUGCACUCUGGGAUAAGCCUGGGAAACUGGGUCUAAUACCGGAUAGGACCGCACUUUAGUGUGUGUGGUGGAAAGUUUUUUCGGUGUAGGGUGAGCCCGCGGCCUAUCAGCUUGUUGGUGGGGUAAUGGCCUACCAAGGCGGCGACGGGUAGCCGGACUGAGAGGUUGGUCGGCCACAUUGGGACUGAGAUACGGCCCAGACUCCUACGGGAGGCAGCAGUGGGGAAUAUUGCACAAUGGGCGCAAGCCUGAUGCGGCGACGCCGCGUGGGGGAUGACGGCCUUCGGGUUGUAAACUCCUUUCGCCAGGGACGAAGCGUUUUGUGACGGUACCUGGAGAAGAAGCACCGGCUAACUACGUG
rnacentral:rRNA from 1 species